rnacentral:tRNA from 1 species
GGAAAUGUGUCCGAGUGGUUGAAGGAACUUGUCUUGAAAACAAGCAUGGUGAAAGCCAUCGUAGGUUCGAAUCCUACCAUUUCCG